GGGAACCUGUCAGAUUAUUCUUGUUUUUAUUUUGCACCUCGCGCGGGUAAAAAGAUUUUUGUUCCGCUCCUCGGUUUUUCGUCGUUUGAUUGGAAUUUGGAUCAACAGCAGCUCGUGUUAGGGAAUGCUGCAGAAGUAGCCGCAUUCUCCCUCCAGCGGAACGGUUACCGGUUCGGUAAUCAGUGGAAAAAUCGUGGAAUCCUAACGCUGCACAUACCGGUACACGAUAACGAGAAAGGAGGAGAAACGUGUGAAGCGUAAAACCGAACCCGGAAGCAGCAGUAGUGGUUCCGCCGGGUGGUGUGGUUUACCAGUUUGGUGAUUUCAUUGGCGGAAAUGUAUAGUUAAAGCUUCAAGAACGCGAUGAUGGAAUACACUUUUCGAAAUUCACGGAGUGAUGCGAACAAAAAUAAAAGAGAAGAUAAAUAAAAUCAAAUCUCACUUUUCAAUAUUUGAAAACCUUUCUAUUGAAAAUAAUUUAAUUUUGGAUUUUACUCAAGUUCUAGCUAACAUUAGAAAAAUAAAUUUUGCUAAAAUGUUAGCAAACAAAGGUUUUUGUUUGCUUGAAAAUUAGUAAACAUUCAGUCAGGACACAUUUUGCUAUUUUGCUAAAAUUUCAGUAAAAAAAAUUUGCUAAAUUGAUUGCUAAGUUUUUAGCUGGUCAAAUUUGAGCAAAAUUUUGCUAAUUUUCGGCCUCGAAAAUUUUGUGU